UUGAACGCUGGCGGCAUGCCUUACACAUGCAAGUCGAACGGCAGCACGGGAGCAAUCCUGGUGGCGAGUGGCGAACGGGUGAGUAAUAUAUCGGAACGUGCCCAGUCGUGGGGGAUAACGUAGCGAAAGCUACGCUAAUACCGCAUACGAUCUAUGGAUGAAAGCGGGGGAUCGCAAGACCUCGCGCGAUUGGAGCGGCCGAUAUCAGAUUAGGUAGUUGGUGAGGUAAAGGCUCACCAAGCCGACGAUCUGUAGCUGGUCUGAGAGGACGACCAGCCACACUGGGACUGAGACACGGCCCAGACUCCUACGGGAGGCAGCAGUGGGGAAUAUUGGACAAUGGGCGAAAGCCUGAUCCAGCCAUGCCGCGUGUGUGAAGAAGGUCUUCGGAUUGUAAAGCACUUUAAGUUGGGAGGAAGGGUAGUAACCUAAUACGUUGCUACUUUGACGUUACCGACAGAAUAAGCACCGGCUAACUUCGUG
rnacentral:rRNA from 1 species